rnacentral:rRNA from 1 species
AUUGAACGCUGGCGGCAUGCCUAACACAUGCAAGUCGAACGGCAGCACAGGGAGCUUGCUCUUUUGCGGCGAGUGGCGAACGGGUGAGUAAGGUAUAGGUACGAUUCUAGUUUUUGGGGGGAAAUAACGGAAAGAGACGUAAAUUACUACUGAAUACUUCCUACGACAGCAAGCAACGUUCGUUCGGACCUUUCGUGGAUCAACAGAUCGAUGUCGGAUUAGUUAGUUGGCGGGGUAAAGGCCAACCAAGCGAACGAUAGGUAGCUGGUCUGAGAGGAUGACCAGCCACACUGGAACUGAGACACGGUCCAGACUCCUACGGGAGGCAGCAGUGGGGAAUUUUGGACAAUGGGCGCAAGCCUGAUCCAGCAAUGCCGCGUGGGUGACGAAGGCCUUCGGGUUGUAAAGUCCUUUUGUAGAGAAAGAAAAGUAGCAGGUUAAUACCUAGAUAUUAUGACGGUACCCUAAGAAUAAGCACCGGCUAACUACGUG